GACGAACGCUGGCGGCGUGCUUAACACAUGCAAGUCGAACGGAAAGGCCCUGCUUUUGUGGGGUGCUCGAGUGGCGAACGGGUGAGUAACACGUGAGUAACCUGCCCUUGACUUUGGGAUAACUUCAGGAAACUGGGGCUAAUACCGGAUAGGAGCUCCUGCUGCAUGGUGGGGGUUGGAAAGUUUCGGCGGUUGGGGAUGGACUCGCGGCUUAUCAGCUUGUUGGUGGGGUAGUGGCUUACCAAGGCUUUGACGGGUAGCCGGCCUGGGAGGGUGACCGGGCACAAUGGGACUGAGGUACGGCCCAGACUCCUACGGGAGGCAGCGGUGGGGAAUAUUACACAAUGGGCGGAAGCCUGAUGCAGCAACGCCGCGUGCGGGAUGACGGCCUUCGGGUUGUAAACCGCUUUCGCCUGUGACGAAGCGUGAGUGACGGUAAUGGGUAAAGAAGCACCGGCUAACUACGUG
rnacentral:rRNA from 1 species